AUAGCGUAUAUUAAAGUUGUUGCAGUUAAAAAGCUCGUAGUUGAACUUCAGACCUGGCCGGACGGUCUGCCUAACGGUAUGUACUGUCUGGCUGGGCCUUACCUCUUGGUGAGCCGGCAUGCCCUUCACUGGGUGUGUCGGGGAACCAGGACUUUUACCUUGAGAAAAUUAGAGUGUUCAAAGCAGGCCUACGCCCGGAUACAUUAGCAUGGCAUAAUAAAAUAGGACGUGCGGUUCUAUUUUGUUGGUUUCUAGAGUCGCCGUAAUGAUUAAUAGGGAUAGUUGGGGGCAUUAGUAUUCCGUUGCUAGAGGUGAAAUUCUUGGAUUUACGGAAGACUAACUUCUG
rnacentral:rRNA from 1 species